rnacentral:misc_RNA from 1 species
ACAAACUUGGUCAUUUAGAGGAAGUAAAAGUCGUAACAAGGUUUCCGUAGGUGAACCUGCGGAAGGAUCAUUAAUGAGUCUUGAUGCGGGGUUGCAGCUGGCCUUCAUAGACAUGUGCUCGCCCUGUUCAAUCCACUCUACACCUGUGCACUUACUGUGGGUUGCCGGUUGACAGGCAAAGGAGGAGGAGUGUGUGUAUGUAAUAAUGCAUGCACAUGCCUAUCUCUCUGGAUCUGGCCUCACGUUUUUAUUACACACAAGUAUCAGAAUGUGUACUGCGAUGUUGUAACGCAUUUAUAUACAACUUUCAGCAACGGAUCUCUUGGCUCUCGCAUCGAUGAAGAACGCAGC